GUGUCCUUCUUGGUAACCAACAGAAUCUUCACUGAGAAACUGCUGGAUCGCUCUUCUGUGGCACACCAGACCCUCUCCUGGGAUCUUUCGAACGUGCUGAUGCAUACACUGGGGCAGUUCAAAAAUCUCCUGCAAGUGACCAUUCGUGAGGUCAGGAGUGGUUCGUUGAUAUGUCACGUGGACGUGAUAUUCCAGCCUCCGGCUCCGACGAGCGAGGAUCUCGUACACGCGCUUGUGCUUUCAGUAGGCCCGAAGAAUUACCUGGGUGGGUC